UACGGGGGGGGCAAGCGUUGUUCGGAAUUACUGGGCGUAAAGGGCUCGUAGGUGGCCAACUAAGUCAGACGUGAAAUCCCUCAGCUUAACUGGGGAACUGCGUCUGAUACUGGAUGGCUUGGAUCCGGGAGAGGGAUGCGGAAUUCCAGGUGUAGCGGUGAAAUGCGUAGAUACCUGGAGGAACACCGGUGGCGAAGGCGGCAUCCUGGACUGGUAUUGACGCUGAGGAGCGAAAGCCAGGGGAGCAAACGGG
rnacentral:rRNA from 1 species